AGGCAGCAGUAAGGAAUAUUGGUCAAUGGACGCAAGUCUGAACCAGCCAUGCCGCGUGAAGGAUGAAGGCCCUCUGGGUUGUAAACUUCUUUUAUUUGGGACGAAAAACGGGCUUUUUAGCUCACUUGACGGUACCAGAGGAAUAAGCACCGGCUAACUCCGUGCCAGCAGCCGCGGUAAUACGGAGGGUGCAAGCGUUAUCCGGAUUUACUGGGUUUAAAGGGUGCGUAGGUGGGUAAGUAAGUCAGUGGUGAAAUCUCCGAGCUUAACUCGGAAACUGCCAUUGAUACUAUUUAUCUUGAAUUAUCUGGAGGUAAGCGGAAUAUGUCAUGUAGCGGUGAAAUGCUUAGAUAUGACAUAGAACACCGAUUGCGAAGGCAGCUUACUACGGAUAUAUUGACACUGAGGCACGAAAGCGUGGGGAUCAAACAGGAUUAGAUACCCUGGUAG
rnacentral:rRNA from 1 species